rnacentral:rRNA from 1 species
GAUGAACGCUGGCGGCGUGCCUAAUACAUGCAAGUCGAGCGAACAGACGAGGAGCUUGCUCCUCUGACGUUAGCGGCGGACGGGUGAGUAACACGUGGAUAACCUACCUAUAAGACUGGGAUAACUUCGGGAAACCGGAGCUAAUACCGGAUAAUAUCUUUAACCGCAUGGUUCAAUAGUGAAAGACGGUUUUGCUGUCACUUAUAGAUGGAUCCGCUCCGCAUUAGCUAGUUGGUAAGGUAACGCCUUACCAAGGCAACGAUGCGUAGCCGACCUGAGAGGGUGAUCGGCCACACUGGAACUGAGACCCGGUCCAGACUCCUACGGGAGGCAGCAGUAGGGAAUCUUCCGCAAUGGGCGAAAGCCUGACGGAGCAACGCCGCGUGAGUGAUGAAGGUCUUCGGAUCGUAAAACUCUGUUAUUAGGGAAGAACAAAUGUGUAAGUAACUAUGCACGUCUUGACGGUACCUACUCAGAAAGCCACGGCUAACUACGUG